rnacentral:rRNA from 1 species
GCCCGCUCAGAAACUCAAAUGAAUUGACGGGGCCCGCACAAGCGGAGGAGCAUGUGGUUUAAUUCGAUGAUACGCGAGGAACCUUACCUGGGCUCGAACGUAAGACGACUGUAGGUGAAAGCUUACAUCUCUUCGGAGCAUUUUACGAGGUGCUGCAUGGUUGUCGUCAGCUCGUGCCGUGAGGUGUCGGGUUAAGUCCCAUAACGAGCGCAACCCCUACCUUUAGUUGCCAUCAGGUAAUGCUGGGGACUCUAAAGGAACUGCCUACGCAAGUAGUGAGGAAGGCGGGGAUGACGUCAAAUCAGCACGGCCCUUACGUCCAGGGCUACACACGUGCUACAAUGGCCGAUACAGAGGGCAGCUACCUGGUGACAGGAUGCAAAUCUCCAAAGUCGGUCUCAGUUCGGAUCGGAGUCUGCAACCCGACUCCGUGAAGUUGGAUUCGCUAGUAAUCGCGCAUCAGCCAUGGCGCGGUGAAUACGUUCCCGGGCCUU